CGGUCGCUGUGGGUUUUGUGAGAAACAUGUAACCUAGGGGCCUUAAAUUAACCUUGGGGAGCUACCUCUGUCCGGAUCGUGGUCCGGUUAUGCGGCGCCCACCUGUACAUCAGGUUCACAAGGCUACAAUCGGAUCCACGGAUUUGCGGUGACCGU
rnacentral:other from 1 species